UUACUAAUUUUAUUAUGAUUUUAUUUUGUUUUAUGAAUUUUUAAUAAAAUUAAUUUUAUUUUUUAUUGUCUAAGUAUAUUUUGUAGAAUUGAUUAUUUUAAUUAUAGUUUAUUAGUAAUGUAAUUGGAUUAUGAAAUAUUUUAUUAGUUUUAUAAAGUAAAUUUAAUUUAUUGUACCUUUUGUAUCAGGGUUUAUUAAAAUUUAAAUAAUUAUUUAUUUGUCUCGAUUUGGGUUGAUUUACAAUCAAUUUAUUUUUAAUGUAUCAUAAUUAUGUUUAAAUUGAUUGUUGAAAUGAAACGUUAAUCGUUUCCUAAGAUAUCUAGUUUCUUAAGAAAAAAUUCAAUUUUUAAAAGUUUUUGUUUUUUGUUUAUUCUAAAAUUUAAAGAAUAUAAACUUAUUAAUUCUUUAGGGGAUAAGCUCUGAAGUUAAAUAUUCUAUAAUUUGUGUAUAUUUUUAUAAUAGUAAGCUUUAAACCAGCUAUCUUUAAGAUUACGUUUCAUUUCAUUAAUUGUUUUAAUGAUUUUAUAAUGAUUUUAGAUUUUUUAUUAAGAUUUUAAAUUUAAUUUUAAAAUUAAGAAAAUAAUGAUAGAAUAAGUAUAGAAUUUAUUGUUUUAAAUUAAAUAAUUUAAAAUUUAUUAUAAGGAACUAGGCAAAUAUUUGAUUUCCGCCUGUUUAUCAAAAACAUGUCUUCUUGAUAAUAUUUUGAAGUCUUACCUGCUCACUGACUAUUUUUGAAGAGCCGCGGUAUUUUGACCGUGCAAAGGUAGCAUAAUCAUUAGUUUCUUAAUUAGUAACUGGUAUGAAUGGUUUGACGAGAAAUCAACUGUCUCUUAAUAAUUUCUUGAAUUUAACUUUUAAGUUAAAAGGCUUAAAUUUUUCUUUAGGACGAGAAGACCCUAUAGAGCUUAACAUUUUAAUUAUUUAUGAUUUUUGAAGGUCUUUUUAUAUUUAGUAAUAAUGUUUUGUUGGGGUGACAUAAAGGAUAAAUAAACUCUUUAUUAUGAAUUCAUUAAUUUAUGUUAUUUUGAUCCAUAAUUUAUGAUCAUAAGAUUAAGUUACCUUAGGGAUAACAGCGUAAUUAACUUGGAGAGCUCAUAUUGAUAAGUUAGAUUGCGACCUCGAUGUUGGAUUAAGAUAAGUUUUUGGUGAAGUAGCUUAAUAACUAGGUCUGUUCGACCUUUAAAUUCUUACAUGAUCUGAGUUCAGACCGGCGUAAGCCAGGUCGGUUUCUAUCCUAAGUUAAUUUAUUUAAAUUAGUACGAAAGGACCAUUUAAAUGGAAGAUUUUUUAUUUAUUGAUUAAAAUUAAUGUUAU
rnacentral:rRNA from 1 species